GUGAGGAAUAUUGGUCAAUGGGCGGGAGCCUGAACCAACCAAGUCGCGUGAAGGAAGAAGGAUCUAUGGUUCGUAAACUUCUUUUGCAGGGGAAUAAAGUGCAGGACGUGUCCUGUUUUGUAUGUACCCUGAGAAUAAGGAUCGGCUAACUCCGUGCCAGCAGCCGCGGUAAUACGGAGGAUCCGAGCGUUAUCCGGAUUUAUUGGGUUUAAAGGGUGCGUAGGUGGUUUGAUAAGUCAGCGGUGAAAGUUUGCAGCUUAACUGUAAAAAUGCCGUUGAAACUGUCGGACUUGAGUGUAAAUGAGGUAGGCGGAAUGCGUGGUGUAGCGGUGAAAUGCAUAGAUAUCACGCAGAACUCCGAUUGCGAAGGCAGCUUACUAAGCUACAACUGACACUGAAGCACGAAAGCGUGGGGAUCAAACAGGAUUAGAUACCCGGGUAGUCC
rnacentral:rRNA from 1 species